UAGAUUGAAGCCAGUUGAUUAAGGUGUUUAGCUGUUAACUAAGAGUUUGUAGGUUUAAAUCCUAUCAAUCUAG
rfam:Dipodomys ordii ctg_broad_rename0048324, whole genome shotgun sequence.